UUCCUCUAUUGGGGCCACCUGAGGAAGGAGCUCGUUAGGGGCGAACUGCAUUCCCCCAAAAUCCAUUUGUUGGAGUCCUAACCCCCAGGACCUCAGGAGAUGACGGUGUUUGGAGAGAGAGGGCCUAUAAAGAGGUGACGAAGGUUAACUGAGGUCAUACAGGUGGGCCCUGAAGCCAUGUGACUGGUGCGCUGAUAAGAAAAGGAGAUGAGGUCACGGACACGUACAGGGGGCUGACCACGUUGAGGACACAGUGGGGACACCGUCCCUAAGCCAAGGAGAGAAACCAGCCCUGCUGGCACGCGGAUCUCGCACGUCCAGCCUCCAGAACCGUGAACGAACAGACGUCUGCUGUUUAAGCCCCCCGGGCUGUGGCACUUCGUCACAGUGCCCGAGGACACGCCUCUUCAGCUCAAGCAGGACGGGGGUGUCCUGCGGGCGCUCAGGAAGCAAGACCCAGAAGAGCCACGUCCGAGACUGCCGGCGCCCCGCAGAGGUCUGCACCCAGAGGACAGCUGGGGCGGGAGCAGGGGUAUCUCUGCACCUCUGCACCUGCCAGCUCAGCCAAGCAAACGCCCGGAGCCAGCACCCAGCUCCUGGGGGGCAAGAACAACAGAGGGGCAAAGAGACCCUGUCCUUUCUGAGUGUGGAUCCCCACACGGCAGCCUUGGAGAAGUGCACGGACCAGAGGGGGCUGUGGCAGUGCUGGACCACCCCACGCCCGUGGGCAGGGGCCUGACCCUGGGCCCCCGGUGCUCCGGAGAGCCCUCUCCCAGCCGGCCAUCCCCCUAUCCAGCCUCCAAACCCCGAUGCCGAGAGAGGCCCAGGGGAAACACAGAUGCUUGUCCGAUAAGGUACGGUCCAGCCUCAGUGUUUGUGGAUUCUGUAUUUGCAAAUCCACCUGCUCACCAGAAUUAUUUGUAACCCCCCCCCCCAAGCGGUCCUCCUGGCACGUACGCGGUCAUUCGCAGACACGUGCGUGCAGAGCAGCCAAAAACUUGAGUGCUUGGUGAGCGUGUUCCCAGAUGACAUUAUUCCCGUCACAUACGAUGAACAAGCGUCCUUCUCGUGGUCCAGCGAGCGCCACGUUUUGCAUAUCUUUGUGCUUUUCGUUGGCGAUUUCACUGUUUAAAAUGGUUCCACGCGUAGUGAAGUGCCGUCUAGUGUUCCCACGUGCAAGAAUGCUGUGAUGAGCCUUCUAGAAGAAACACGUGUGUCAGAUGAGCUUCCUUCAGGCACGUGUCAUAGUGCAGGUGGCCUGGAGUUCAACGUUACUGAAUCAGCAAUACAUAUUAAGUAAGGUGCCUUUAAACAGAAACACACAGAAAACAAGGCUCCAUGGAUCAGAAGCCUCCCUCUGUGUUCGCCCAGGAGCAGAGGCUCACCGUCACCAGGGAACACAGCCGCCAUGAAGAAGAGGCAUGACUGUAUCUGAGAAGGAACGAACCAUCUCCGGCAGCUCACUGUGGCCAGCUGGUUCAGCUCUUCCUUCGCUUUCCUCGAGAGACGUCAAACUGUGUCUCCCCGGCCCGUGCUCCAAGAACCCAGGUUUAUUCCAACUUCCAGGUAGGUAUGGAUGUCUAAUGCAGCUGUGUCACCAGAUGACAUUCACCCAGUAAGUCCCACUGGGUGUAACUCACACCCACACCUGAAACCCCAGGGUUUGGACCCCGAAGCUCCCGCCUUCGCCCACCUUUCUCACCACCAAUUUCCUUCACCUCUGGCUCAGCCCAAGCUUCUCCUGCUCCAGUGUUGACAAGUUUCUCCCUGAAGGCGGUUCCUCUUGCCCCAGACACUGCAGCUAAAGAUGCUCCCGUGACUACCAGCUACGAAAUUCUCACGCGAGGAGCCACCUUCCAUUUCUGAACAUCCUUUCCACCUUCUCAGAACAUAAGCAAGAAGGUCUCCUCCCAUGACAAGUAGAGAGAGUCGUCGCAGUGGAGGAAAAUGCGACCUGGGACAGCAUUCCCACCCCCGCAUCGUGCUAAGCAGCACACCACAAGGAGAGUGACAAGUGCUAUUUAAAACCAAGCGACGGGGAGACUUCCCUGGUGGCGCAGUGGUUAAGAAUCCACCUGCCGAUGCAGGGGACACGGGUUCGAGCCCUGGUCCAGGAAGAUCCCACAUGCCGCGGAGCAACUAAGCCCGUGCGCCACAACUACUGAGCCUGAGCUCUAGAGCCCGCAAGCCACAACUACUGAGCCCACGUGCCACAACUACUGAAGCCCGCGCACCUAGAGCCCGUGCUCCGCAACAA